rnacentral:rRNA from 1 species
AGAGUUUGAUCCUGGCUCAGGAUGAACGCUGGCGGCGUGCUUAACACAUGCAAGUCGAACGAUGAUCCCAGCUUGCUGGGGGAUUAGUGGCGAACGGGUGAGUAACACGUGAGUAACCUGCCCUUAACUCUGGGAUAAGCCUGGGAAACUGGGUCUAAUACCGGAUAUGACUCCUCAUCGCAUGGUGGGGGGUGGAAAGCUUUAUUGUGGUUUUGGAUGGACUCGCGGCCUAUCAGCUUGUUGGUGAGGUAAUGGCUCACCAAGGCGACGACGGGUAGCCGGCCUGAGAGGGUGACCGGCCACACUGGGACUGAGACACGGCCCAGACUCCUACGGGAGGCAGCAGUGGGGAAUAUUGCACAAUGGGCGAAAGCCUGAUGCAGCGACGCCGCGUGAGGGAUGACGGCCUUCGGGUUGUAAACCUCUUUCAGUAGGGAAGAAGCGAAAGUGACGGUACCUGCAGAAGAAGCGCCGGCUAACUACGUGCCAGCAGCCGCGGUAAUACGUAGGGCGCAAGCGUUAUCCGGAAUUAUUGGGCGUAAAGAGCUCGUAGGCGGUUUGUCGCGUCUGCCGUGAAAGUCCGGGGCUCAACUCCCGGAUCUGCGGUGGGUACGGGCAGACUAGAGUGAUGUAGGGGAGACUGGAAUUCCUGGUGUAGCGGUGAAAUGCGCAGAUAUCAGGAGGAACACCGAUGGCGAAGGCAGGUCUCUGGGCAUUAACUGACGCUGAGGAGCGAAAGCAUGGGGAGCGAACAGGAUUAGAUACCCUGGUAGUCCAUGCCGUAAACGUUGGGCACUAGG